rnacentral:lncRNA from 1 species
GAUCCAUGUCUGGAUACACUUGACGAAAUCUCUUUCUCCAUCUCUUGGUGAACAUGUCAAGCUCAUUUGAUCUUGGAACAUAAGAUUUUACACCCAGAACACCUUGCAUUGAUGACUCAAUUACUGAAGGAUCUACCAGGUCCAGAAGACUUGUUAGCACAUCUGUGAUUAUCCAUGCAUAUCCACUGCUCAUCAUCCCGGCUUCUUUGGCCUUGAGGAAAAGGCGGGAGGCAAGAGAUGAUUCUAAGUGUACGAUGAACACCCUGGUCUGCAUUGUAUUCAACUUGUAUAGCUCCCUGAAGAUCUGAUCAUCACUGGCUGAAGGAGAAAUACCACUUCUAUAGGAGACUAAACUGUUGUUUUCCAGCAAGGCAUCUGUCAAAUGUGGAAGCAUCCCGCUUCCAUAGGGGCUAUCCUCAUAGAUUACUACAACGUCCCUCCAAUUAUAGUUUUUAACAAUUGCCGCUAUGGCUUUAGUCUGGCUGGAAGAAGGAAGUGCUCCUCUGAUGAAGAAGGGAUUUUCCUUGACUGAAAGUGAAGGACUAGUUGCUGGAGAAAUGAUAGGGACUUUUACUCGGUUCCCUAAGUCAAUCACAAAAUCAGUUUGUGUAGACAUUUGUGGCCCAACGAUGGCUUGUACUUGAACAUCCUUUAGCAAGUAUAUGGCUGCACAUACACAAUCAGACUAUAAGGAAUUGUCUGAACAGAAAACCAAAGGGAAAAAAGAAGAAAAGAGAAAAAGAUAUGCUAGCUUAACAGAAGUAAAUCAUGGAGCUGAAUUAAUUUACCUGCAGAUGCUGCUUCAACAUCAUCUUUCUUGGAAUCCCUCAAGUGAGGGACUAUCCUAAUAGCUCUGGGACUAGUGGUGGCAUGGUAAUCUUCAAGAGCUAGUAAGAUAGAUAUGUGCAUUACUUUUGCCACAACUGUUUCCAUAUAAGAACUAUACCCACAUCCACCUUUACAACACUAGUUUCAUCUUCACCUCUUAUUGGAAUUACAUAGUGGCAAAAGCUAAUAAUGGAGACAAGUUGAAUGAAGAGAAUUAGGCAGUAGUAUCUUUGAUUUUGCAUUUGAAAAACUCUGGUAGCAAGUAGUUUGAGAGUUGGGAAAGAAGCAAUUCUGCUUGUGCAAGUAAUUAACCACUUUCUAGAGAUGUGUCUAAAAAUCUCUUAACUGUGUGGCUCUAGAUAUAUGGUUUCAGAAUCUGGGAACUUCAUAUACUUGGACCAGUAAAUACCUUGCAAAACUAUAAUAAGGCAAUGUAGAAUGAAAAGUCAAAGAUAAAGUUUCCAAAGAAUAAUUGAGAGAGGACUUUUCAUACAUUCUUAACUAGUAAGUUCCCUCCUCAAUUUGACCCAAUAAAAAUCUGACAAAACGAACGCAGUGACAAAAACUCAUUUGGUUGACCUUGGAAUGGUGCUUAUUUUACAUGGUUCCUGUUUAUACUUGGUCAUUAGUAACUUGCUUGGACACCAAAUAAUGAAACAAUACCCACCAUUGGAUCGAGUGGCCGAUCUAGGAUUUUCAUUCAUGGGGAUUUGUAAAUAAAAAUGUAAAAAGUAUUAACUUCCUUGGACACUCAAUAAUGAAACAACCACCACCAUUGGCUCUAGUGGCAUGCUGAUUCAGGAUUUUCACUCUGAGAGUUCCGAAAAAUAAAAAUGUAAAAGAUAAUGCAGUCCUUGAGAAUUGAACCUUGGACAUUGGGGUGUAUUUUGAAUUUCCUGAAUUGCAGAGCUAACCUUUUGCAUGUUAUUUAGGGGAUUCACAAUUUAUAUGUACAUCAACAUAGAAAAUAUAUCCUAUAUAUACAUUUUAAUUUUUUGUUGAAGGGGUUUGGGUGAACACUCUCCGGCUCUUGAUUGGCUCAUUGACACUGUUAUUGUUAGUGCAAGAAGAAACUGCUAGGGAAGUUGCCUAUGAUAUAUGUUGAAGCAGAUGGGAUAUAAGAUUCUGAUUUGAUGGGUUCAAUAUUUAGGUUCUUACCAUUGAGCCCAUUACACUUUGAAAUUAUGGGUUCAUGUUCUAUUAUUUAUUAAAAUUUUAGUGAUUUUUCACAUUAUACUUUUAUGAUCCGUGUCGAAAAUGCAAAUCUUAUACUUAAAUUCGCCAUCCGCCCUGUGUGACUGAACAUAUUACUGUUUGUCUUCCAUGUAGCAGUGAUCCUAAAACCUUUCCUUAUUUAUGAUCUGUAACUAUGUUCUUAUCCUCUAGGCUAGUUCUAGCACCUGCAUUAUAAAUUCACUACUACUAGAUCUUUCUUUCUUAUUUAAUUUGGGCUUUGCAGAUUGCUUUUUCUUAUCAAAAAAUUGCACAAAUCUCUCAUGUGGUUAUUCACAUAUAACCCCCAUUAUUUCAUAUUUUAUAUAAGAAUUAUGUAAUCAAAAAAUAAUUUGGCAUCUUAUGUGUUGAUUUUAUUGUUUUUGUUCUAUUAUUGUAACAUAACAAAACUACCUCAAUUGAAUUUCUUGAAAACGGAUGCAUGUAUUGAAUUCUUUCAUGCCACACAUAUAACUUCGUUUAAUUAUAUUCCAAACAUAAGUACAACAACAACAACAUAAGUAGUGAUGAAAAAAACAAAGUGAACAUAAAAUUGCUAGAAAAACAACUAAGAAAAAGUAAGGGUUGAAUCCAUCUAAUGGAAUCCUGGAGGCCACCUCUUGAUGCUAAUAUUAUGGCCAAGAGUGACAAAGAAAUAAUGUAAUCUGAUUUAACUAACCCUAAAGCUAGCUCAUCUCUGUACAAUCUCUUGUAGGGCCCUAUUCAGGUGUGUCACAAUUAUGUUAGCAGCUAUCUGUGUCAUCUUUCUUCAAUCGUGCCUGACAUUGUUUCAUGAACUGGGGUUCCAGUUUCUGUUGUAGAGAACCCUUCAGAAGCAGGGGAUUCUCCUAGGCCAUCGGAGAUUCCGAUUUCUGGGCUUUGCAAAGGAAGGUUGGGCGAUAAUUCAAUAGAAGCAUCACUUUCUGCAAACACUGUAGCCGUUAGGCUUUCAUUCCCUUCAGAUGGCUUUUUUGACAUAGAAUUAGAGUCGUCUCUCUUUAAAUCAAAGACUUUUUGCUAUUGCACAAAGCUUUUUUCCUAUUGAAUCAUCAGUGGCUAAGAUUUCUCUAUUCUGAUAAAGGAAGAUGACGAAGAAUACGAGAAGAGCGGAGCCUGCUGAUACACCAGCUAUGAGGAAAAGGCCCUUAAAACUAUCAAGCGUGAGGCUAGAUGCUGUAGCCAUUCCAUCUGGCUUUGGACAAUCUGUUUCGUUCCCAAACCAUUUCUGAAUUAUGUUAUUCAUAGUCUCUCCCUCUAUCACCUUCAAGACUGCUCUUGAGACGUCAGGUACCAAAGGAGAUCCUUUUGGAAAUGCCUGCAACAAGUUGUGGGAAAAUUAAAGAUUAGAUCAUUGAGUAAACCACUAACCACUCUAAAUAAAUGUCAACACUUUCUGAAACAUCAGUUAAGUACAACAAUCUUACAAAUCCAAAGCCGGCAGCCUUGUAUGUCGGACCAACCAUAAUAUACUUCCUGCAGUAUUUGUUCAGCAAGAGUCUGAGAUAAGGUAGUUCAUCAACAAUUGCACCAACACCUCCAUUUUUACUACCUCUUGAGAGUGCAUCAUUAUACUCUUCCAAUGUGCUAUAACUCCUAAAUUUGGAGCUGUCAAAUUUCAUGCGUGUCAAGACAUCUUUGACAAAGGAACCUUUUUGGUACCCUACAUAUUCUCCAUUCUUGAUGAGAUCAUUGAGGUCUGUUAUAGUAGGUUGAAGCUGUUGCACUGUUAACAUAGAUGUUAAGCUGGCUGUAUAGCUUGAUGUCAGCACCAGAACCACGAAAACCCACACAAUCAGCACAAAUCUUGAUAAGUUACUUGUUAUCUUCUCUUCUGCAACAACCAGUCAUAUAUAGGAUUUGUUGAGAAACAAGGAGAAAUCUUAAACUUUUGGUCUAUAAUUUGAUUUGAGUUAGAGACUUACUAUGAGCAAAAACGAGAGUUGAGAAGGAAAACCAAAAUAUCAUCCCAACUUGCUUGCGUUUGGGUCCUCGAAAAUGUUUGUUUACACGAUGUUCGAGUACCCAAACCACAAAACCAAUGAAGACGAAGAAUGCUCCUGUUGCUAUCCACAGCUCGGCCUUUAAAGGUUUCAAGAAGAUCCAAGCGUUUUUCCUAUCAUCAUUCCUUACAGGCACAACUGCAGAAAUACUCGACUCUGAAAAAGGUAAUGUGAAAUCUACAUACUCAGAUCGGCUUGCUAAAAUGGUAACAUCACCUACAACUGCAUCAUAUUCCUGGUUCAAGCAAACAUUGAUUAUUUCAGUAUUUAUUGUUGGUCGCAAAAGCAGAACAUAGAUAAGGAGUCCAAAAAAGGAGCAUGUAAGUGAGUUAUUCAGCUGAAGAGGUUAAUUUUACCUUAGAAGUGAUCUUGUGAACAAGAUCAUCAUAGUUUUGAGAAGUAGGGCUAUGUGCUAUUGGAAAUGGAAUAAAUUCAUAGGGGACAGCAUAUGGCAAAGAUAGGAUGACUUCUUUGAAGACAUCUGGACCUAAACCAGUUGCAAUUACUGCUUGUGUCUUUGGAUCUCUUUCCACUUUAAUGAAUUGCUCCAGCCCUCCUUUGUCUGGAACUCCAACCCUUAACUUCUUCCCACUUGUGGGUAUUUCCCAGCCUCUCGGAACAAUAGUAGAUUCACCAGGCCAAAUGAUGACCCCUAGUUGCUUAUUAUUAGUUUUAGCUAUUUUACCAUUCAUCUUCAGUUUAUGCAAAAUGCCAUCCUUCUCUGUCCAGAAUCCAACACUUUUCUCUCCUUUCCCAAUUAUAUUCACAAUCUGAUAUGGGGAUGGCUGCAGUUCUCUAUCAACGAUACGGAAAUCACCACUUAGUCUUGGUUUUAGCUCUGCGUUUUGCAUAAAGUCAAUGAGCAGAGAUCCCACUUCUGAGGUUCCAAGUGCGUCUAGGUCUGUUAUGUUCUCUCUAGUGUCUGGUUUCCUUAAUUUUGGGAUAGCAGUAGUGCCCGCUUUCUCUACUGCUUCUGCUAAUAAGGUGAUGCUAUCAUAUGCCCAUAGCCCGAAAACAUUGAGUUCUACUUGGUCCAUGUCUGGAUACUCUUGACGAAAUCUCUUUCUCCAUCUCUUGGUGAACAUGUCAAGCUCAUUUGAUCUUGGAACAUAAGAUUUUACACCCAGAACACCUUGCAUUGAUGACUCAAUUACUGAAGUAUCUACCAGGUCCAGAAGACUCGUUAGCACAUCUGUGAUGAUCCAUGCAUAUCCACUGUUCAUCAUCCCGG